GAUGAACGCUAGCGACAGGCUUAACACAUGCAAGUCGAGGGGCAGCACGGGAGUAGCAAUACAACUGGUGGCGACCGGCGCACGGGUGAGUAACGCGUAUGCAACCUACCUAUCAGAGGGGAAUAACCCGGCGAAAGUCGGACUAAUACCGCAUAAAACAGGGGCACCGCAUGGUGAUAUUUGUUAAAGAAAUUCGCUGAUAGAUGGGCAUGCGUUCCAUUAGGUAGUUGGUGCGGUAACGGCUCACCAAGCCGACGAUGGAUAGGGGAACUGAGAGGUUGGUCCCCCACACUGGUACUGAGACACGGACCAGACUCCUACGGGAGGCAGCAGUGAGGAAUAUUGGUCAAUGGGCGGGAGCUUGAACCAGCCAAGUCGCGUGAAGGAAGAAGGAUCUAUGGUUCGUAAACUUCUUUUGCAGGGGAAUAAAGUGCAGGACGUGUCCUGUUUUGUAUGUACCCUGAGAAUAAGGAUCGGCUAACUCCGUGCCAGCCGCCGCGGUAAUAC
rnacentral:rRNA from 1 species